rnacentral:misc_RNA from 1 species
UCAAACUUGGUCAUUUAGAGGAAGUAAAAGUCGUAACAAGGUUUCCGUAGGUGAACCUGCGGAAGGAUCAUUAUUGAGAUAGGGUGUGAAAUAUCGCCCGACCCUCCAACCCUUUGUUAACAUUACCUUUGUUGCUUCGGUGGAUCGAAUGAGAUCGCCAGGAGUCGAAAGACUUCCGGAGAGUGUUCACCGACAGCCUUCAAUUUAAAUUCUUGAUAAAACUUGUCUUACCAUAUUUAUUUCAUUAAUAAAUUAAAACUUUCAACAACGGAUCUCUUGGUUCUGGCAUCGAUGAAGAACGCAGC